rnacentral:rRNA from 1 species
CUUGUUACCCAUAAGAGGUCCAGCCUGCCCAGUGACAAAGUUAAACGGCCGCGGUACCCUAACCGUGCAAAGGUAGCGCAAUCACUUGUUCUUUAAAUGAGGACUAGUAUGAAUGGCAUCACGAGGGUUAUGCUGUCUCCCCAAUUUACUCAGUGAAACUGAUCUCCCCGUGAAGAAGCGGGGAUAAGAAUAUAAGACGAGAAGACCCCAUGGAGCUUUAAACUCAGUAACAAUUGCACCACAAAAAGCCUAAUAUUUAUGCAACCCUGUCUACUAGUUUUCGGUUGGGGUGACCACGGAGUAUAAACAAACCUCCACGAUGAAAGGAAUUAACAACCUAAACCAAGAGCUACAGCUCUAAAUAUCAACAAAUUGACUAAAUUGAUCCAAUCACUUGAUCAACGAACCAAGUUACCCUGGGGAUAACAGCGCAAUCCAUUUCAAGAGCUCAUAUCGACAAAUGGGUUUACGACCUCGAUGUUGGAUCAGGGUAUCCAAGUGGCGCAGCCGCUACUAACGGUUCGUUUGUUCAACGAUUAAAACCCU